AGUGAACGCUGGCGGUAGGCCUAACACAUGCAAGUCGAACGGCAGCACAGUAAGAGCUUGCUCUUACGGGUGGCGAGUGGCGGACGGGUGAGGAAUACAUCGGAAUCUACUUUUUCGUGGGGGAUAACGUAGGGAAACUUACGCUAAUACCGCAUACGACCUACGGGUGAAAGCAGGGGAUCUUCGGACCUUGCGCGAUUGAAUGAGCCGAUGUCGGAUUAGCUAGUUGGCGGGGUAAGGGCCCACCGAGGCGACGAUCCGUAGCUGGUCUGAGAGGAUGAUCAGCCACACUGGAACUGAGACACGGUCCAGACUCCUACGGGAGGCAGCAGUGGGGAAUAUUGGACAAUGGGCGCAAGCCUGAUCCAGCCAUACCGCGUGGGUGAAGAAGGCCUUCGGGUUGUAAAGCCCUUUUGUUGGGAAAGAAAAGCAGCAGGUUAAUACCCCGCUGUUCUGACGGUACCCAAAGAAUAAGCACCGGCUAACUUCGUG
rnacentral:rRNA from 1 species